ACACUCCUGCGGGAGGCAGCAGUGGGGAAUAUUGCACAAUGGGCGCAAGCCUGAUGCAGCCAUGCCGCGUGUAUGAAGAAGGCCUUCGGGUUGUAAAGUACUUUCAGCGGGGAGGAAGGCGAUAAGGUUAAUAACCUUGUCGAUUGACGUUACCCGCAGAAGAAGCACCGGCUAACUCCGCGCCAGCAGCCGCGGUAAUACGGAGGGUGCAAGCGUUAAUCGGAAUUACUGGGCGUAAAGCGCACGCAGGCGGUCUGUCAAGUCGGAUGUGAAAUCCCCGGGCUCAACCUGGGAGCUGAAUUGGAAACUGACAGGCUAGAGUCUUGUAGAGGGGAGUAGAAUUCCAGGUGUAGCGGUGAAAUGCGUAGAGAUCUGGAGGAAUACCGGUGGCGAAGGCGGCCCCCUGGACAAAGACUGACGCUCAGGUGCGAAAGCGUGGGGAGCAAACAGGAUUAGAUACCCGUGUAGUCCCAUGA
rnacentral:rRNA from 1 species